rnacentral:rRNA from 1 species
GUCUUUUUGGUAUUUAAUAUAAAGUCUGACCUGCCCACUGAAUAUAGUUUGAAGGGCCGCAGUAUUUUGACUGUGCAAAGGUAGCAUAAUCAUUAGUCUUUUAAUUGAAGGCUGGUAUGAAUGGUUGGAUGAGAUACAAGCUGUGUCAUAAAAAUUAAUAUUUGAAUUUAACUUUUUAGUCAAAAGGCUAAAAUUUUUUUAAAAGACGAGAAGACCCCAUAGAGCUUUAUAUAGUAAUUAUUUAAGUUAUUUAGAUUUAUUAAAUUUAAUUAUUGAACUAUAUUUUGUUGGGGUGACAAUAAAAUUUAUAAAACUUUUAUUUUUAUUUAACAUUAAUUUAUGAUUAAAUGAUCCAGUUUUAUUGAUUAUAAAUUUAAGUUACCUUGGGGAUAACAGCGUAAUUUUUUUUGAGAGUUCUUAUCGACAAAAAAGAUUGCGACCUCGAUGUUGGAUUAAGAGUAAUUUUGGGUGUAGAAGUUCAAAGUUUAAGUCUGUUCGACUUUUAAAUUCUUACAU